rnacentral:tRNA from 1 species
GGGACUGUGGCUUAGUGGUAGAGUGCUUGCCUAGCAUGCAUGAAGUCCUGGGUUCAAUUCCUCAGUACCA